rnacentral:rRNA from 1 species
UACGUAGGGACCAAGCGUUGUUCGGAUUUACUGGGCGUAAAGGGCGCGUAGGCGGCUUGUCAAGUCAGUUGUGAAAUCUCUGGGCUUAACCCAGAACGGCCAAGUGAAACUGACAUGCUAGAGUGCAGAAGGGGCAAUCGGAAUUCUUGGUGUAGCGGUGAAAUGCGUAGAUAUCAAGAGGAACACCUGAGGUGAAGACGGGUUGCUGGGCUGACACUGACGCUGAGGCGCGAAAGCCAGGGGAGCAAACGGG